GGCAACGUGGCCGAGUGGUUAGGGCGCCGGACUUGAAAUCCGGAGGUUGCGGGUUCAAGUCCCGCUCUGACCA
rnacentral:tRNA from 1 species